AUAUCAAUAAGCGGAGGAAAAGAAACCAACAGGGAUUGCCUCAGUAACGGCGAGUGAAGCGGCAACAGCUCAAAUUUGAAAUCUGGCCUCUUCGGGGUCCGAGUUGUAAUUUGUAGAGGAUGUUUCGGGUACCGCUCCGGUCUAAAUUUCUUGGAACAGAAUGUCAAAGAGGGUGAGAAUCCCGUCUUGGACCGGCGGUAGGGCCCAUGUGAAACUCCUUCGACGAGUCGAGUUGUUUGGGAAUGCAGCUCAAAAUGGGUGGUAAAUUUCAUCUAAAGCUAAAUAUUGGCCAGAGACCGAUAGCGCACAAGUAGAGUGAUCGAAAGAUGAAAAGCACUUUGAAAAGAGAGUUAAACAGUAUGUGAAAUUGUUGAAAGGGAAGCGCUGGCAACCAGACUUGCGCGCGGCGGUUCCCCCUUCCUUUUGGUUGGGUUACUCCGUCGUGUCCAGGCCAACAUCGGUUCUGGGGGUCGGUCAAAGGCCCUGGGAAUGUAUCUACCCUUCGGGCGUAGACUUAUAGCCCAGGGUGUCAUGCGACCUCCCGGGACCGAGGAACGCGCUUCGGCUCGGAUGUUGGCGUAAUGGUUGUCAGCGACCCGUCUUGAAACACGGACCAAGGAGUCUAACAUCUAUGCGAGUGUUUGGGUGUCAAACCCGGAACGCGAAAUGAAAGUGAACGGAGGUAGGAAGCUUAGGCUGCACUAUCGACCGAUCCUGAUGUCUUCGGAUGGAUUUGAGUAAGAGCAUAGCUGUUGGGACCCGAAAGAUGGUGAACUAUGCCUGAAUAGGGUGAAGCCAGAGGAAACUCUGGUGGAGGCUCGCAGCGGUUCUGACGUGCAAAUCGAUCGUCAAAUUUGGGUAUAGGGGCGAAAGACUAAUCGAACCAUCUGGUAGCUGGUUCCUGCCGAAGUUUCCCUCAGGAUAGCAGUAACGUUUUCAGUUUUAUGAGGUAAAGCGAAUGAUUAGAGGCCUUGGGGUUGAAACAACCUUAACCUAUUCUCAAACUUUAAAUAUGUAAGAAGUCCUUGUUUCUUAAUUGAACGUGGACAUUUGAAUGUAUCGUUACUAGUGGGCCAUUUUUGGUAAGCAGAACUGGCGAUGCGGGAUGAACCGAACGUGAGGUUAAGGUGCCGGAAUGUACGCUCAUCAGACACCACAAAAGGUGUCAAUGCAUCCAGACAGCCGGACGGUGGCCAUGGAAGUCGGAAUCCGCUUAGGAGUGUGUAACAACUCACCGGCCGAAUGCAUUGGCCCUGAAAAUGGAUGGCGCUUAAGCGUGCUACCUAUACCUCGCCGUCAGGGUUGACAUGAUGCCCUGACGAGUAGGCAGGCGUGGAGGUCCGUGACGAAGC
rnacentral:rRNA from 1 species